UCNGGAUUUAUUGGGCGUAAAGGGAGCGCAGGCGGUCAGGAAAGUCUGGAGUAAAAGGCUAUGGCUCAACCAUAGUGUGCUCUGGAAACUGUCUGACUUGAGUGCAGAAGGGGAGAGUGGAAUUCCAUGUGUAGCGGUGAAAUGCGUAGAUAUAUGGAGGAACACCAGUGGCGAAAGCGGCUCUCUGGUCUGUCACUGACGCUGAGGCUCGAAAGCGUGGGUAGCGAACAGGAUUAGAUACCCUGGUAGUNCACGCCGUAAACGAUGAGUGCUAGGUGUUAGGCCCUUUCCGGGGCUUAGUGCCGGAGCUAACGCAAUAAGCACUCCGCCUGGGGAGUACGACCGCAAGGUUGAAACUCAAAGGAAUUGACGGGGGCCCGCACAAGCGGUGGAGCAUGUGGUUUAAUUCGAAGCAACGCGAAGAACCUUACCAGGUCUUGACAUCCCGAUGCUAUUCUUAGAGAUAGGAAGUUACUUCGGUACUUCGGAGACAGGUGGUGCAUGGUUGUCGUCAGCUCGUGUCGUGAGAUGUUGGGUUAAGUCCCGCAACGAGCGCAACCCUUAUUGUUAGUUGCCAUCAUUAAGCUGGGCACUCUAGCGAGACUGCCGGUAAUAAACCGGAGGAAGGUGGGGAUGACGUCAAAUCAUCAUGCCCCUUAUGACCUGGGCUACACACGUGCUACAAUGGUCGGUACAACGAGUUGCGAGCCGGUGACGGCAAGCUAAUCUCUGAAAGCCGAUCUCAGUUCGGAUUGGAGGCUGCAACUCGCCUCCAUGAAGUCGGAAUCGCUAGUAAUCGCGGAUCAGCACGCCGCGGUGAAUACGUUCCCGGGCCUUGUACACACCGCCCGUCACACCACGAGAGUUUGUAACACCCGAAGUCGGUGAGGUANCCUUUUAGGG
rnacentral:rRNA from 1 species